AGCAGCCGCGGUAAUUCCAGCUCCAAUAGCGUAUAUUAAAGUUGUUGCAGUUAAAAAGCUCGUAGUUGAAUUUCGGGGUUAGUAGGUUGGUCAUGCCUCUGGUAUGUACUGGUCUCACUGAUUCCUCCUUCCUGAUGAACCUUAAUGCCAUUAAUUUGGUGUUUUGGGGAAUUUGGACUGUUACUUUGAAAAAAUUAGAGUGUUUAAAGCAAGCUAACGCUUGAAUACAUUAGCAUGGAAUAAUGAAAUAGGACGUUCGAUCCUAUUUUGUUGGUUUCUAGGAUUGACGUAAUGAUUAAUAGGGAUAGUUGGGGGCAUUAGUAUUCAAUUGUCAGAGGUGAAAUUCUUGGAUUUAUUGAAGACUAACUACUGCGAAAGCAUUUGCCAAGGAUGUUUUCAUUAAUCAAGAACGAAAGUUAGGGGAUCGAAGACGAUCAGAUACCGUCGUAGUCUUAACCAUAAACUAUGCCGACUAGGGAUCGGAUGAUGUUAAUUUUUA
rnacentral:rRNA from 1 species